AGCAAGUCUUUCUUUAAGGGGGGUGGAUUUCCCUGUUAGUCCCAUGGUUAUGAGAACCUCAGGCAUAGAUGUGAUAUUGGGUUUGGAUUGGAUGAAGAAAUAUGCUACGGAAAUUAAGUGCAAAGAAAAAGUAGUAGUUGUGACAACACCCAAGGGAGAGAGAAUCAGUGUGGAUGUAGCAGUGCAGGCUCCACCCACAGCUACAGUGAAUCAGCUGGAUGAUGGUGUUGAUCUUCAGGACUGUGUAGGGAAUAAAUUUUCAAAUGAGUUACCAGGUAUGUUACUCGACUAGAGACAUGAAAUUGCUAGUGCAAUGGGAUUGGUUUUCACGAGGAGAAACAACUUGGGGAAGAGAAGAGGAUUGGAGAGAAUCAAAUCCACAAGUGGUUUGUUUACACACUGCUCAAUCUCGAGGACGAGAUUCUUUUAAGGGGGGUAGAGUUUGCAACACCCAAAAAUUUAUUUUCAAUCAAUAGGAUUUAAUUUGAAUUAUUUAAGAAUUUUAGUGAGCAUUUAAUGUAGCAAAUAAACAUUUUUUUUGUGGAAAUUUAAAAUUUAUCAUAAGCUUAGUAACAUGAUUUUGUGCAUUCAUGCUGAGACAUAUUUUUUUUUGUGGUGAUUGUAUUUGGUUUAUAUUUAAUUGUCCUCAAAAUCCUUUCUAAAAAAAAACUUUGAAAAAAAAAUAAAACAAAACAGAAAAGAAAUUGGAAAUAGGAAAAAAAAAAAGAAGCCUCCCAGGCCGCAGCCCGAGCAUCCCCUUCCCCUCGCCUCGGCCCAGCGCGGCCCAGGAAGCCCGCGCGCUGAUCCCCUCCUUUCUGUGACUGGCAGCCUGGCCCCGCAGCGCAGUGUCCUGUUCAUCUUCCGAGCGUCACCGAGCAGACACCAACCGGAAGCCAAACCGAAUCGCUGGAAGUCGGGAUUUCUUCCCAAAAUCGUUUCCUCGGCGCCCUAUAAAGCUCCCUAGCACCGCAGCGAACCCCUUUUGCAUCUAAAACGCGAAGCCAAGCCUUAGCCACCUAAAACCGAGCGGUUUCGGAUCUCGCCGAAAGCCAACUCCAUCUCCGUACGCCGCGAGCCGUCUUCGUCAUCUCUCGGACCCAACCAAGCGCUUAGACGAGAUCGUGGUGAGCUCCUCUUCAUCCCGGUGUUUUCCUUUCGCGAAACGGUGCUCGGAAUCGAGAAGUCCGUCGUCGCCGGCGAGCUCCGAAACGGCCGGCAAUGGAGCCACCGCACCGGAGCUGGUGACGGCCGGUUGAAAAAAAAAAUACUUUUUCUGCUAUUUACAAGAUUGCCACUGAUUUUGUUUUGCUCAUAAAAUAUUCGUUUUAACUCCGUUUUUAUCCAUUCAAAUUGCGU
rnacentral:lncRNA from 1 species